UGAACAAAAUUUAGUCAACCAAAUGGUUUUAAAUUUUUAUCCAAAUUAAUCUAUUUAUUAGCAAUAUCAAAUGCUUUUGUCGUUUUGGGAUAAUUACUCGUCAUCAUUACUACAAGAAAAAAGGAACAAUACCGAAAAUUCACAAUACUGGCAACCUGAAAACAUUUUGGAGAAUAUAUCGAAAGAAAAUCCGCUCAAUACGUCAAUCUCUUAUAACCAAAUAAAUUAUCAAUUACUCGGCCAAAACCCUUUAUUCACCUAUUUUUACAUCCAGCAAAUGAGUCAAAUGAUGCAAUAUCUACAAU